GAAUGAAACAUUGUAUCUAUGAUAAGGAUCCAAAACCCCUAAGUUUGUUUAUAAGUGAAGAUCAAAAAUUUCAGCCCUCAGCCCUCAACAAGGGGGGAUAUUUAUUGAAAAUUACCAAAGUCAGGUAGCAGAACGAAUCGUCUGCUCAAAUACCAAUACAAAGUUCUUGGGAGGAGUUCAUACUGCCGACAAGGAUUGCCUUCUUGACUCAAGAAAAAUUAAACAAAUUGAG